GUACCGUGAGGGAAAGGCGAAAAGAACCCCGGAGAGGGGAGUGAAAUAGAACCUGAAACCGUAUGCGUACAAGCAGUGGGAGCCUACUUGUUAGGUGACUGCGUACCUUUUGUAUAAUGGGUCAGCGACUUAUAUUCAGUGGCAAGCUUAACCGUAUAGGGUAGGCGUAGCGAAAGCGAGUCUUAAUAGGGCGUUUAGUCGCUGGGUAUAGACCCGAAAUCGGGCGAUCUAUCCAUGAGCAGGUUGAAGGUUAGGUAACACUGACUGGAGGACCGAACCCACUCCCGUUGAAAAGGUAGGGGAUGACUUGUGGAUCGGAGUGAAAGGCUAAUCAAGCUCGGAGAUAGCUGGUUCUCCUCGAAAGCUAUUUAGGUAGCGCCUCAUGUAUCACUCUGGGGGG
rnacentral:rRNA from 1 species